CAGCAGUCGCCGCGGUAAUACGGAGGGUGCAAGCGUUAAUCGGAAUUACUGGGCGUAAAGCGCACGCAGGCGGUCUGACAAGUCAGAUGUGAAAUCCCCGGGCUUAACCUGGGAACUGCAUUUGAAACUGUCAGGCUGGAGUCUUGUAGAGGGGGGUGGAAUUCCAGGUGUAGCGGUGAAAUGCGUAGAGAUCUGGAGGAAUACCGGUGGCGAAGGCGGCCCCCUGGACAAAGACUGACGCUCAGGUGCGAAAGCGUGGGGAGCAAACAGGAUUAGAGACCCGCGUAGUCCCUGUCUCUUAUAC
rnacentral:rRNA from 1 species